CGUUACUCCCGGCGUUAAGUACAGCGGCUAUUACUAGAGCUAUGUAUGCGCUUGCCGGGCAACUACGUCUUAACAGGUAAAAGUCGAAGUACUUGGCGGUCUAGAGAUGAACCAGCCCGUGAGACUUGACGGUUAAUCCGAUGAUCCGCGUAAAUUCUACUCUUUCUUGAAUUCUCAGUUGGUGUAUGGCCGUUUAGUACUAUCUGGAAGGAAGACAAUGCGCUGAGCCAUUAUUCAUGUAAAUGUUUGUAUGAGUAGAUGGAGUACUUCAGGUCGUCAUGCCGCCCACGAAGGAGGCUUAGUUGAGUCACAUUGAUUAAAUCAAGCGGAACUAGGAAGGAAGUAGCCUGGGGAAGAAGUAAUGGGUAGUAAGAAGAGAAUAAUUCGCUUUUCUGAAUCGUGAACUCCUAGGUGUACAAAUCGCCC
rnacentral:rRNA from 1 species